rnacentral:lncRNA from 1 species
UAUUCUUUAUCAUAGAAACUUCUUGUUAAAUAAGAUAUUGCUAAAUAAGAUCAUACUAAUAUUUUGUUUGGUUCAGGUAUAAACAAGAAUUGUCUAUUCCAGGGAUAGGUAUAAGUUCAGGAAUAAACGUGGAAUAGACACUACAACAGAAUUAGGUUAUAGCGACACAUGUUUGGAACACUUUUGUUUAAGUAUUAUAUUUAUGCCAAAAUUUAAAAAAACAUCUACUAAUGUCUAACUAUAAAACCGAAUCCAACAAAAAAUAAAGGUUACUCUACUCAACCUACCCAACCCUAUCAAUUUGGCCCGAUUACAAAUAGAAAAGAAAAAACAAAGAAAAAUCGAUUACCAUCACCCAUUCUCCUCUCAAUCAUUCCACUAAAAUCCUAGACGAAGGGCCCUUCCCUUUCGUCCUCCUCCGCCACUGCAGCCAACAAGGUAGAGUUCCGGCGGUUGCUAAAUGGUUAAAUAAGUGUUGCUAAAUUAGCAGCACUCUUUUUAGGUUAUAGCGACACUCUUUAACUGUCAUUAUAUACUUAGCGACUCCACAUAUAGCAACACUUUUUUAAAGUGUCGGUAAUUUAGCCAGCAGCACUUUUUUUUAUCUGUAUCGACAUUUAAAAGUAUCGCUAUAGACCGUUUUUGUUGUAGUGUUUGUUUUUCGCAUUAUAUGCUACUAACAACACCUAUGAAUGGUAGUUGGAAAGA